rnacentral:rRNA from 1 species
GAUGAACGCUAGCUACAGGCUUAACACAUGCAAGUCAGGGCAUCAUGACUGAGGUUUACCUUAGUUGAUGGCGACCGGCGAAUGGGUGAGUAACACGUAUCCAACUGCCCGUUACUGGAGGAUAGCCCUCCGAAAGGAGAAUUAAUACUCCAUGUUGUGCUGAAUUCGCAUGUUUUCGGCACUAAAGAUUCAUCGGUAACGGAUGGGGGAUGCGUCCGAUUAGGUAGUAGGCGGGGUAACGGCCCACCUAGCCUUCGAUCAGUAGGGGUUCUGAGAGGAAGGUCCCCCACAUUGGAACUGAGACACGGUCCAAACUCCUACGGGAGGCAGCAGUGAGGAAUAUUGGUCAAUGGGCGUAAGCCUGAACCAGCCAAGUAGCGUGCGGGAUGAAGGCCCUAUGGGUUGUAAACCGCUUUUUCAGGGGGAUAAAGUGAGUGACGUGUCAUUCAUUGCAGGUACCCUGCGAAUAAGGACCGGCUAAUUCCGUG